UCUGCAAUUUCCGAACCGGUAUGGAGGAAAGAAACAGCAACCCCAAAACAGAAAAAUGCACGCCCUCGCCCCCGUGAGCCCACGCCCGUCACUCCCCACGAACCCGCCGCCUCCCUCCCUCCUACACCAGCGCAACCCUUACCUCACGCCGACAGCCGCCCUCCCUCGCGCCGGCAGCCGCCCUCCCUCGCGCGAUGGCCUCCUCCACCCCCCACGCUCAGGUCGCCUUCCUUCCUGCGCUCCGGUCUCCUUCCUCCUUGCGUGCCAGCCUCUUCCCUACCCCGCACUUCAUCUGCCUUUCUUCCCGCACUCCGGCCGUCUUCCUCCCCGCGCUCCGGCUGCCUUCCUCCCCGCGCUCCGGCCUCCUUCCUCCUCGCAAUCCGUCCGCCUCCCUGCCCGCACUCCGUCCACCUUCCUCCCCGAGAUCCGUCCGCCUUCUCCCCUGAGAUCCCACGGCCGUACCACCGCCGACCAACCCCUCCAUCUGUAAGUAAGGGCACUAGGCCGCCCUCCACACUGGGGUGGCCCUGCUAGCCAUCAGUGGGGGAAGCGGAGUGGCUGCCAUGGCGGGGGUGGAGACGUGUUCGUCCUGGGCGUGCGCGUCCUCGGGAAGUCCAUCUGCAAUUUGGGCACCUCGCCGAGACCUCAUAGUGCUCGUCCCAGACUACUCUCCGAAGCCACUCGAGUGUGGUGUCGUCAGUAUGCUGAAGAUGAAGUUUCCCCUAGCCGUCGGGCCCCGGCCCCUCCCUGCGAAGCUCCCAGUCGCCAUCUGCGCCAAGUCCGCACUCAAUCUACAGUUCAUUGUUGGCUAGCUGAAGGUCCAGGUUUGCUAAAAAAAUUCAGUGCAUCUUUAUAUAUUGUUCAGUUCAUCUACUUGCCAAUCAUAAGUCCAAUUUCAGAUAUGAAUAAAGCUCAAACCAAGUUAAAAAAUUAUUUUCUUCAUAAAUGAGUUGUUUUUGGUUAAUUUCUUUUUAUGGACAGUACAAAUGCACACUAUUGUGUGGUGCAUCUGUUUAUUGUAAUUGUGGUUUGGUGUUCAGAAGAAGACAACAAAAAAGGUUCAUAAAAGAACCCAAAAACAGUCCGUAGUUUUGGAAGCCCAAAUUUCAGUUCAACAUGUCUUCUAUCAUCAGCUCAUUAAGAACCCCAGAAACGGUUCAAUGUGUGUGUGUUCAAAAAAUAACAAAAAUGGAGGUUCAGAGAUGGCACCGAGAGAAGUUGGAAAAAACGGUUUCAACAUAAUAAAAUAACUGCAAAAUGUUUUUGUAUUUGGGUUAUAAAAUAAUCGUCUCAGUUCAACGAGUUAAAAUCGUCUUAGGUCAAUUAGUUAAAUCAUCUCAGUUCUACUAUAUUUGUUGCGACAAGAAUGGUUCAAGAUUAGUUAAUCCUUCUUCCACUUCCUCCACAAGAAAAUGAGCUCUAAAGAUUCAGUAUUUCACCUUGCAUACAACUCAGAGAACUACCUCUACAGACCUGGCUAGUAGGAGCAUCGAAAAUAGGAUGCACAAAACAUCAGGAAAAGAUUUUUGCACCAUUGUAUCAACCCCAAGCCAGUCGGGAUAGUUGAGGAGUUGUGUCGUGGUCGCCUGGUAGUGUCCUUGUCACCGUCCGUCUUCAAGCUGGCCGCGAGGGCCAGCAAGAUGUUGCAUGCGCCGACGAAGAUUCCAUAUCUGACUAGCAGCUGGUCAGAUGCCCGUGUGUGUGCCUUAAUUCUUUCUCACUACUAGCACUUGGUUUACCAUCGGUAGGUAGUUUGUCUAAAGUUAUCUGGAUUGCACUGAUGUCCUGGUAGCCUAAAAAAUGCAUACUGUUAGCACUUGUGGUUUGCUUAUGUAUAUUAUGGGAAUUCUUUGGCUGCACUGCAACGCUCUGGCCAGGUGGCAGCAAACCAAACAGAGAGGGCAAGUGAGAGACGAAGCCUCCUCUGCCUAGGACAUCGGAGAGUCGAACCCCAACAGCCAUUUUCUUGGCAGGCUAGCACUCGCUUUGGCGGCAUGGAAGAUGAGUGUGCCCUGUAUGCGGGUACCGUGACAUUGAGUAGGCGCGAAGUGUAUCACUCCAGCACGCCAAAGCUCCAGUGCAUGUCAACGUCUUCUCCACUGCAAUGGAAGCUCCUCCGUUCGAGUUGAGCACUGGUCAUCAUCCAAGUUGAACACUAGGUGCUGUCCAAGUUCAAAGAGGGUUGUAUGCUAAGUUUGUUUUAGUGAGAAAAAUGCGGGGUUUUGACAAUAUUCUGUAUGAUUCAUUUAUUCAACCUUAGAACUUGGCGAUAUUCGGUCUAUUUUUCUAUGAUGAAGGCACACAUGAAGUCAUGUGCAAUGGUA